rnacentral:rRNA from 1 species
GAUGAACGCUGGCGGCGUGCCUAAUACAUGCAAGUCGAGCGAACGGACGAGAAGCUUGCUUCUCUGAUGUUAGCGGCGGACGGGUGAGUAACACGUGGAUAACCCACCUAUAAGACUGGGAUAACUUCGGGAAACCGGAGCUAAUACCGGAUAAUCUUUUGAACCGCAUGGUUCAAAAGUGAAAGACGGUCUUGCUGUCACUUAUAGAUGGAUCCGCGCUGCAUUGGCUAGUUGGUAAGGUAACGGCUUACCAAGGCAACGAUGCAUAGCCGACCGGAGAGGGGGAUAGGCCACACUGGAACGGAGACACGGUCCAGGCUCCUACGGGAGGCAGCAGUAGGGAAUCUUCCGCAGUGGGCGAAAGCCUGACGGAGCAACGCCGCGUGAGUGAUGAAGGUCUUCGGAGCGUGAAACUCUGUUAUUAGGGAAGAACAUAUGUGUAAGUAACUGUGCACAUCUUGACGGUACCUGAUCAGAAAGCCACGGCUAACUACGUG